rnacentral:rRNA from 1 species
AUCAGCCUUUUCGGGUGCGAUUCUGUGGGGUUUGAUGAGCUUAACACCUUCAUGCUCUGCAUAUUCGUGCUCUUGGGUGUACUUGCCCGUGUGGUUGGUUAACAUCAAUUUUGGUGGUCAUAAAAUGACUGGAGGAAUGUAGCUUCGAUCUUGUAUUGAAGUGUUAUAGCCUUCGGUAGAUGUGAUGAUCGAGAUUGAGGAUUGCAACGGAUACCCUUCGGGGCUACCUGUCUGGUCUCUGAUCGUUGCUCUGGUGCCGAAAGCUUGCUUACGGUUAUCAAAGUCGAUGGUCAAUAGGUCAGAACGGGUUAAAUUCGUUAAGGAUGUUGACGUAAUGGCUCU